CGCAGACCUACAGCAUUGCAGUUAUGGGACUAAAAGUUGAGUCUUGUGCCAAAUGAAUGCCACUCUUACUGUUGAUGCGUCAGUGUUUUUCAACACCAAAUUUGAGGACCAAAUGCAAGACGCAUUUCUUGUAAAUGUGAAUUUUACUGAGGAGGGAACAGAUGUAAUGGUGUCAAUCUGCAAUGGUGUCCUUUACAAACAAAGCUGUAUAUCUCUUUGAGGGGAGCAACUGGCCCAACAAACUGCUGUUGAAUCUAACCACAAUCAAGAAUGGACGGGCUGUGUGCUCCCUAAACACUGCUAAUCUUAAGGCUGAUCUGAAUCUGGUGGUACGACUUGUAUUUUGUAAAACUUAAGACUUUCUCUAACAUGAUACUGAUUAAGUUUGAUCUUCCCCAGGCGAGU